rnacentral:tRNA from 1 species
CCAAUAGGGCUGCUAUAGCAGGUUACUUUGAUAUAGUAAAUUGUGGAUUAUUUAUUUCGUUGGU